rnacentral:ncRNA from 1 species
UGUAGAGCAAUGAUGAAGAAGAGUAAGCUUGAGAAACACUUAAGAGAGCUGAUGGCUGGUGAAAAUCAGUGUGUGACUUUUGCUGAAUGGGCUUCUGAGCUUCCUAACUGAAAUAAUAGUAGGUUGGGCGGAUCGGUCUUACCGUUAAAAGAGACAACGCAUCGAAAUAAUAUUUCCGUGCGGUAAAGUGCGCUUACUUUAGAAGGUAAGCGAAUUAAGGUGGCACCACGGGCUUCCCGUCCUUUUU